GGAGAAGCCCCCAAAAUAUAUAAAAAAGGACAACUCUGUUCCACAGAGUAGCUGUUGACAUUAUAGUUGCGCAGACUUUGUUGACUCUAGAGAACCGCGGGCCAAUCGCACAUCCCUGUGAUGGCGACUUUGCAUUCGGAUGUCAUCCAUAUCAACUUUCGAUGCCAGUUUCUGCGCCUACCAUGGUGACCACGGGUAACAGGGAAUCAGGGUUUCAUUCCGUACAGGGACCCUGAGAAACGGCUACCACAUGCAAGGAAGGCAGCAGGCGCGCAAAUGACCCAUUCCCGAUGCGGGAAGGUA